ensembl:lncRNA
CUGCAGGGAGGCCUAGAGGAUUCCCCGGAGCAAGGGGCGGAGAGCCCGGGCCGCUCUGCCUGGUGUGGGAGGGGUGGGAAGAGCAGCAGCGGAGGAAUCACUGCCCCUGCGACUUCUCCGAAAAUGGCUCCGUGGCCUCCAGGAAGCCGGUUGCCCGCUGGGAAGGAGGCCGGGCUGGGCAGCUGCAGGUCGAGGGCCCCGGAGAAAGGAAAGGCCGCGUGGGGACCCUGCGGGGACAGAUCUGUGAUCCCUCAUGUCCUGGGAGCCGGGCCCGGCCGCCAGGUGGGUGCAGCAGGUGACUCCUAGCUGAGCCUCGCCUGGAUUUCGAGCCCAGAAAAUCACGAGCUGCGUGGGCCGGGAAGAGAAUCAGCAUCACUGUGGAGUGAGGGGCCUCUGCCAGCCAAUCGUGCUGACAUGAAAACACACAAAACCGCCAUCCACAGAUGUGCACACACGCACGCCUCGCCAACACAGCUUCAGCUCAUUUGCAAAACCCAAAGCUGCUUGCAGGUGAGCUGGUGAACGAGAAGCAGGAAGAGGAAGCUCUUGAGGAAACAGUCAGCUCCGCCCCUGCGAGAAUGAGGCCGAACCCAAACCGCAGUGGAAAUGUCAGCACUGAGGAGGCGCAUCGCGGCUUGGCUUGUGGUGGACCCACUGCAUUUAUUGUAACUGGGUAACCCGAGUCUGUCCUGUCCCCAGUCCCCAGCACCACUGCCCCAUUCUAACAGGGUCAGCCAAGUUAAUUCUGCUAUGGAAAAGUGAAAGGAAAAGAGACACCAUAUUAAAGAAUCUUACCACAGUGAUAUAUGCACACCCAUGUUCAUAGCGGCACAGUGCAUAAUAGCUAAAGCUUGGAAACAGCCCAAGUGCCCGUCAACUGGAAACUAGAUAAAGAAGAUGUGGGUUUUUUUAUAAAAUGGAGUACUACUCAGCCAAAGGAAUGAGAAACUAGAGGCAUUUUAUAGCUAAAUGGAUGCAUAUUGAGGCCAUCCUCUUAAGUGAAAUAAAUAGGACACACACACGUGUAAAUACCGAAUCGUUUCUCUAGUGUGAGAAACUGAAACUGUAAUUAAGGAUUAAAAUGCUUAAAAUGAAUAAUGGAUAAUUUGAAAUAAGAAGAAAAGGUCCAAAGGGGUUGGGGAAGUAGGAGGGGUAAGGGAAAGGAAAAAUGAGAAAUGGAAAAAAUGGAAACAAAGUCUUUGUAAAUAGGGAAGGGUGGAGGGGUGCAGGGAGGACAGGGAAUGGGGAAAAAAUAAGAACCAAGAUGCAUCAUGCACAGGUACAAGCACCCAAUGAUAAAUGUAAAUGUAUUGUAUACCUAAAAUGUACCAAUAAAAGAAUUUAAGCAAAAAAAGACUAUAUUUACUACAAUAACAGAAGGAAAGCCCAGGAACUAAGGGUGUAUGAAGUUGAAAGAGAAAGCCGGAUCUGGGAGUCACACCCAUGCUCCCAGCAUUUGGGAGGCUGAGGCAGGAGGACUGUGUCAAGGUUGAGGCCAGCCUGGGCUGCAUAGUGAGACCCUGUUGAGAGAGUGUGUGCAGUGAAGUAAUUCAGUAUCUGACAGAAUAUAAUGCCCUGCUCAGCUGGUGUGUGCCAAGGUCCAAGGACAUGAUGUCUUUCUACUUCUGUGCCAAAAUAUAAACACACAAGGAUGCUGGAGAUCCCCAUAGUCAGGUUCCAGUAGCCACCUGCCCAGUGUGUGAUGCAGGCCUGAGAAAAAGAAUACACUAAGAGACAGAACUAGGAGAGAAAGCGGGGCAGGAUGACCAACGCUGGUGCAACCGACAAAGGCCUGGCCAGUCCCAGGCGCUGACUUUUAUUGGCAAUCAGUUGGGGUAAAGGUGAUGUGUGGUUUCUAUGGAAAUUAAUGUAAACAAGGCUCAUAAAGAACAAGAUGAGUCAGGAACAGAAUAGACAAAAUAUAUGGUUGUAAUUAGAACACUGUCCUAGUCUGAAGGUUUAAAUUGUGGGAACAGAAUUUGGGUGUGAGAUACUUUGACCUUGGCAUGUAGGCUUCGGCCAGACACUCCUAUAAACAAGCCAGUCAUGGGGUUAACUCUUCACUGCCUGCCUUGGGCGUGAUCAAUAUUACAGUCCUCUGCACAAGGAUUUUAGAAAGUCUCACCCAUCCAUCUGAG